ensembl:lncRNA LINC02938 long intergenic non-protein coding RNA 2938
AGACAGCAGGCAGCCUGAAUGAACCACAAGCUGUGUGGACGUGGAGAAGGUGGGAAGUCUGUCCAUUCCAUGGAGAUUAUCAGCUGAAACAAGGCUGUUUCCCGUCAGACCUGCUUAAGCCAUGUCAAGGUGUAAGAGUAACUGGAUGCUUUACGUAAACAAAAGGACAAAUGAAGGCCAAGCUGGAGUCUCACCUACCUGACUUUUACAGCAUUGCUGAAAUGCCUUUCCAUAAAGAAGACAACUUCAUUCAACUCUUCAAUCUCAAGAUUACAGCCAUUUUCUGCACAGAGAAGGGUACACACUGAGGCAUCCACAAGACCUUGAUUUCAAACAAAUUUGUCUUCCUUUCAGUUAACACUAACAAAGCUACCAUUGAUGGAAACUAAAGGCAUUAAAACCCAGAGCACAUCCCCCAGCAUGAGAAAAUGAAUCAGACGAUGACCGCUUUGAGAAAUGGGCUCUGUGCUGGGACACACUGGGCUGUCUCCUCAGUACAGUCCCAGGCAGGACUUCAUUAUAAACCGCAGCCCCACCUCACACAGCGCCUCCUCAGCAUGACUCACUCACAAAAUCAUCCCUGCUGGUGGGAUGGCCGGCCUCUAACGAUGGAUUUGCUGUGCUGUUUCAUGGAAAACAACAACAACAACAACAAAAAACACACCAUAAACCAAAGACUUAAUGUCCAGCUGGUGGCUGGGACACCUUGGUGAAGAGGACCCAGUAAACUCAGGGAGGCUAGUGGUGCUGUUUGUGUCUCAUGUGGCCCACACCAGCCCACUGGCUGUUCACAAUACAUUCAUCUAGUGUUACUUCAGGGGGCCUCCAGGCCGACCUCCUAACUGAAAACAUCAUAGACCUUUCACGCAAGUGUUCAACGUGCUGGUGUUUACUCCUGCUGCUGGGCAUUCAAAACAACUGCUGAUCCCUCAUGUUCUCCUUACCUUUGUUCCCCUCCUUGCGAGUUGGGUGUAGGCCCCAAUCAGCCUCUGCAGGCCUCUCUGAACCUCAUGGUCUGAGUUUGAGGGGACCCAAGAGCUUGCCUUCUUAUUUUACAGAUGGGGAUACAGAGGCCCAGAGACUCUGUGCACCUUGUCAAGGUCCCAGCGCUAAGUCUAGAAACUAGCUGUCAUGUCAUAUCCCUUGGUCUCGGGAUAUUUUCACUUAUCCAUUCAACACGUGACAAGCAUUUCAAUAAGCCAGCUCUUUGAGGAGCUGGGAACAGGGAGAUGAAAUGGGCCUCUGCCCUGAGCAGCCCCUGGUCUUUGAUGUUAUGAUGGCAAGAAGCACUGGGAGCUAACAUCAAAGGGAGAGAGGCCUUCGGAUGCUUAGAAAGAGUCUCCCCACAGUUGCUAUCCUCCUCUGAAUGCGGCUCAAACCAAAUCAGCACAAAUCCGCUAAAUAAAACCACUGGAAAACAAGGUCAAAGUGACAGAGGCCAAGAGCACCAACAAAAGUGCCUUCUUAUCCAUCUUGGAGCCAAGCUGAAGAGCGGCCCCAAGUGACCAACGGUGGGACUCACGGCUGGGCCUUGUCCCCCCACCCCAGCACAGCCUUGGAUGAAUCACACACCAGAGAACAACAGGGCUAUUUCUCACCAGUCAUUUGUCAAGCUGACAUCCCUGCCUAGAGUUAUUUAGGGCUUUCUAAAGACACUUCUUUCCCUCCCUGCCGCAGGAAGCACCUGCACGGCUGUUGAGUUGUGGUUUUGCUCAAUAGCGCUUUGAUAUCCCUUAAGGCCUUCAUCAAUUACUCUUCUGUCCCUGAUGGGUUGGACUUUGGCUGAGGCAAAGACAGGGAAGCUUAGAGAGGAUGAUGGAGAGGAAGAGGAUGGUGAGUUCCUCUGAGAUCUGAGGCCAGCCACUGUCUGGAGGUGGGCUCUUAUUGAUUUCUGUGGGGGAACCUUCAGGAGAGGACAGUCUGAGUUCUUGGCCAGCUGGACUUGGACCAUAACUGCCAUGUUCCCAUGAGGACAGGUCCCCCUCCUGGAACAGAGCUAUGCUCCUGCCAGCUACUUAGAGGAAAAGAGCAGGCCUGUCAGAUGAGUGUGACUGGAGCAAACCUGGUCUUCCGAUUCAGCUAAAUGACAUAAGGCAGAGGGGACUUGGAGCGGGAUCAGGGAAGAAAAACGGAAAUAAUGAGAAGACUCAGUGAAUGGAUCUCUGAAAGCAGUUAGGAGAAUUUGAGUUGUUGAGUCUAGAGGAGGCAAGAGUGAACUAAGAAUUAGCUUUGAUUAUAGGCAGAAAAACUGUGCAUAAAUUAGUGGUCAUUUCUACUGAAAAUAUGGUGUGGGUUGGAUUCUUGCUUCCAUGGCUGCCCGAGGAUUUUGCUCCAGUGUGCUGGCCUGUCUGGGUUAUUGCAUUAUUCUUAUUCAUGAGGUGGUGGGUCUCCUUCCUUGGAGAUUUGCAUGAAUGGAAAUGACAUCCUCCCAGAUGGAAUGGUUUAGGGAAAGUCUUCACGACACAUAUGUUUCUUCCCUUCAGUUUGCACUGCCCAACAUCCCAGCUUGACCCUUAUGUCUGAAUCAGUUUAGCAGCCUCUUGACUAGUAUACAGAUGUUCCAUCUCUGCCUCCUUCAGUCCACUCUGCCUAUGGAGGUCCCACUUAUCUUCCUUAAAUUCAUCUUGGAUAAUGGCAAUGUCCUGCUAAAAAUAUGUUGAUGCCUAUUUAUUUAUUCAUCCAACAAAUACUGAGCACCUAUUGUCUUGAGCACCGAUUAUGUGCCUGCUGCUUACUCCCGGGCAUACAACAUGGCACAAAGUGUAGUAGGGCCUCAUCAAGGCAUUCACUCAGCCUUCCUGUCCUUGUCCUGGAACCUUUUAAGGCCUCAUCAUCUGCUUUUAACAGAUCUUUCUGACCUUUUGCCCACACAAAACCUUUUCUUCCAGCCUAGCCCAUUCACCAUGAUAACCCACCUGGUGUCUUUCUUGUCACCCCAACUUCUGGAUAGACUAUCCUUAUUCGGAGCCCAUCUCUCCUGUGAAGCUAACACAAGUCUCCUUGCCUUUAGGAGGAUUUCCAUGGCCGCUUGGGUUUUAGAAUUCUCUAGCACCUCUGUCCCCACAGUGUUUCUUCCUUAGCACUGGGUAUGUUCUUCCUGAGUGGAGAGAACUGGCAGCUGCUGUGCCUGCCCUGACCUCCUGUGGCCUCACUCGCCGUGGACAAGUCCUGAGAGAGCUGGAACCUGUGGACAUUCUUUCCCUGUCCGUGCUCUGCUGUGGAUGAUGACAGGGGCAGCUCAGGUGUUUGCUGGGGCUUCCAGAGCAUUUGACACCAUUAAGAAGACGGAGAGUAUACUGAAUGUCUAAACUUAAAGGGGGAGAGGCUUUGGGGAUCAUUUAAUAAAACGACCUUGUUUUGCAGAUAUGGAAACUGAGAACCAGAGAAACUGAUUUACCCAAAACCACAAGGUGACGUAGUAGCAGAGUCAAAUCUUGUCCACUGUUAAGUUUAGCCUAAAGCUCCCUCCUUAUAUAUUUUAAGUUCAUCCUAAAGGUUUCUUCAUACAUAGUGAGCUGUAACCUAAUGGAUGUGUGAACAGACUGUAACUUGCUGUUGUGCCAAUCAUCAAGUUUUGGCCAGUCAAGGCCGUCCAACUGUUUAAAUGGUGUUCAAUAAGGUAAACACUGAGCUGUGAUCAAUCUGGCUGUUUCUGUACCUCAAUUCUGUUUUCUGUGCAUCACUUUCCUUUUUCUGUCCAUAAAUCUUCUUUGUCACCGUGGCAGCAACAGAGUCCCUCUGAACCUAUUCUGGUUCUGGGGCUACCAAGUCAUGAAUUAUUCUUUGCUCAAGUAAAC